AACUACUCCCUGUCAAAUGACUCAAGCCAGCUGAUUUGAGGCCCCUCUCCUGAUUGGCUCCUUCCACGUCGCGGCAACUAUGAAUACGGCCGUGGAGGGAUACUUCCGGGUUCGACUCCUGCUGUGGCUGUAAGCUUAUGUCGUGUGGAACCGCGUUGGAAAACAAAGCGUUUUCUCCCCUAAAUUCGUUUAUAAAGUUGUAUCACCUCAGCGGUCAGGUUUUUUUUCCCUUUAAAUUGAUCUUCUUCAUAUUGAAGUGGCGAGCCGGUAGGACCAUUCUUUGUUUUGUUUUUUUUCCCCCGCUUUGCCGUCUAUGGAUUACGGACAUAUUUUUUUUCCCCAUUGUAUGAAACUGGACCCUAAGGAGGAA